rnacentral:rRNA from 1 species
UACGAAGGGGGCUAGCGUUGCUCGGAUUGACUGGGCGUAAAGGGCGCGUAGGCGGUUCGUACAGUCAGACGUGAAAUUCCUGGGCUCAACCUGGGGGCUGCGUUUGAUACGUACGGACUUGAGUGCGGAAGAGGGUCGUGGAAUUCCCAGUGUAGAGGUGAAAUUCGUAGAUAUUGGGAAGAACACCGGUGGCGAAGGCGGCGACCUGGUCCGAUACUGACGCUGAGGCGCGAAAGCGUGGGGAGCAAACGGG